rnacentral:lncRNA from 1 species
AGAGUAUUUAAGCGAGAGGAAGCAGGGAUCGGUCCUUUCUAUCCUGCAGACUCUUGUCUGAGACGGAGCGGAGAUGAUCUUCUUGUAUGCUGUGGUCUAGUGUGCACUCGGAUGCCACAGAUGACAGCACUCGAGUUGAGACUUCACGCUGCCCAAGGAUCUCUUUGGCCUCGUGCCCAUGCUUGCGUUUAUGAUUUUUUUUUAAAGAGGAGAUGAGGAGAACCAAUCUGCCAAGGGAUUUGGGCACUCGUGUCCGCUGCCCUGUUCUAGCACAUUCCCUGGAUGUCUGGCCGGGGUUCAGUGGACCUGCAGUGUACAGCGCCAGGUCCAUGACCCGCUGAUGAAGCACCAGAAAAACUAGAAGCAACCGACAAAAACAAAAACUACCAAAAGCCGACACCCAACCCCUUUUCCCGUUGGUCGGCUUCUGGUUGUCUGUUGCUUGGUUAGCAGGUUAUGGGGAUGACCUGUUGUAAAACAACCUGUUCAUUUUUGUUUAUUUUUAAAGGCUGAGUGCAACUUUUCCCAAAAAAACAAAAUCAUCAAUAAAAAUUGCAAAACAUUGAAACUGAAAAAAAAA